AAUGAACGCUGGCGGCAUGCCUUACACAUGCAAGUCGAACGGCAGCAUGACCUAGCUUGCUGGGUUGAUGGCGAGUGGCGAAAGGGUGAGUAAUGAAUCGGAACGGGCCUUUUAGUGGGGGAUAACGUAGCGAAAGUUACACUACAACCGCCUAUUCUCUGAGGAGGAAAGCAGGGGACCUUCGGGCCUUGCGCUAGAAGAGCGGCCGAUGUCGGAUUAGCUAGUUGGUGAGGUAAAGGCUCACCAAGGCGACGAACCGUAGCUGGUCUGAGAGGAUGAUCCGCCACACUGGGACUGAGACACGGUCCAGACUCCUACGGGAGGCAGCAGUGGGGAAUUUUGGACAAUGGGCGAAAGCCUGAUCCAGCCAUGCCGCGUGAGUGAAGAAGGCCUUCGGAUUGUAAAGCACUUUCGGCUGGGAAGAAAGCGCGUCCGCUAAUACAGUGUUGGGAUGACGGUACCAGCAGAAGAAGCACCGGCUAACUACGUG
rnacentral:rRNA from 1 species